CAAAGCCCUUUAGGAAGGACAAUAGAGAUAGCAUUUGUAAAUUAACUGAAAAGAACCUUGAAUUAGAGCUUUUACGAACCUCAAGCUCAUGUGUGAAAAUAGAAGGAAAUAAUUGCUUUGGACAAGGGACAUCUUGAGCAGUCAUCCGGCCCAUCCCUUCGGAUUAUGCAAGCCAGACAGUAAGAGGAUACGAUCAAUGAGGACACCUGCCAAUGACUUCAAGGCAAGGACAGUGCUUGAUAUAAAAUAUGACUCAACAAAUGUUUGUGGAGGGAAUGAAUUAACGGGCCACGUCAACUCAUCUAUUCCCAUCAGAGGAUGGUCCAAAGGACCUGGACCGUAUGGAUAUUCCGCAGAAAAUCAUAUUGGUCCAAUAUAUUGAUGACGUCAUAUUAAUUAGAAAGAAUGAUCAAGAAGUAGCAAGUACGUUGGAGAUCUUGGUGAGACACAUGCAUUCCAGGGGUUGGAGAGAAACCCAAAGAAGACUUGGAGAUCUGCCAUAUCAGUGAAGAUUUUUGAGAUGCA